CCCUUAGAUGUUCUGGGCAGCACGCGCACUACAAUGGUCUUCGCAAACGGAUGCAUUCUCGAAGGAGAAUGCCAAUCUUGGAAUCUAUGCCUUGGUCGGGACAGUUGCUUGCAAUUUUUCGACUCGAACCAGGAAUUCCUUGUAAUCGUGAUUCAUCACAUCACGAUGAAUACGUCCCUGCCCUUUGUACACACCGCCCGUCGCUCCUACCGAUCGAAGAGUUAGGUGAAUUGUUUUGAUCGAUAAGAUUUGACUAUGGUCAACUCUCGUUGGGAAAUUCUGUGAAUCUGACUGUUUAGAGGAAGGAAAAGUCGUAACA
rnacentral:rRNA from 1 species